rnacentral:tRNA from 1 species
GCGGGUGUUAUUCAAUGGUCAGAAUGUCAGCCUUCCAAGCUGAAUGUGUGGGUUCGAUUCCCAUCACCCGCUCCA